CAGCCGCCGCGGUAAUACGUAGGUGGCAAGCGUUGUCCGGAAUUAUUGGGCGUAAAGGGCUCGCAGGCGGUUUCUUAAGUCUGAUGUGAAAGCCCCCGGCUCAACCGGGGAGGGUCAUUGGAAACUGGGAAACUUGAGUGCAGAAGAGGAGAGUGGAAUUCCACGUGUAGCGGUGAAAUGCGUAGAGAUGUGGAGGAACACCAGUGGCGAAGGCGACUCUCUGGUCUGUAACUGACGCUGAGGAGCGAAAGCGUGGGGAGCGGACAGGAUUAGAUACCCCCGUAGUCCCUGUCUCUUAUAC
rnacentral:rRNA from 1 species